rnacentral:rRNA from 1 species
UGGGGAAUAUUGCACAAUGGGCGAAAGCCUGAUGCAGCAACGCCGCGUGAGUGAUGAAGGCCUUCGGGUUGUAAAGCUCUGUCUUCUGGGACGAUAAUGACGGUACCAGAGGAGGAAGCCACGGCUAACUACGUGCCAGCAGCCGCGGUAAUACGUAGGGGGCAAGCGUUGUCCGGAUUUACUGGGUGUAAAGGGUGCUCAGGCGGAUUUGUAAGUCAGAGGUGAAAUCUUACAGCUUAACUGUGAAACUGCCUUUGAUACUGCAAGCCUAGAUUAUGGAAGAGAGUGAUGGAAUAUCUGGUGUAGCAGUGAAAUGCGUAGAUAUCAGAUAGAACACCAAUGGCGAAGGCAGUCACUUGGUCCAUUACUGACGCUAAAGCACGAAAGCGUGGGUAGCAAACA